rnacentral:tRNA from 1 species
GCCGAAAUAACUAAGUUGGGAGAGCGUUAGACUAUAGUUCGAGAGUCCCUGGUUCGAUCCCAAGUUUCGACA